AGAGUUUGAUCCUGGCUCAGAUUGAACGCUGGCGGCAGGCCUAACACAUGCAAGUCGAACGGUAACAGGAAGAAGCUUGCUUCUUUGCUGACGAGUGGCGGACGGGUGAGUAAUGUCUGGGAAACUGCCUGAUGGAGGGGGAUAACUACUGGAAACGGUAGCUAAUACCGCAUAACGUCGCAAGACCAAAGAGGGGGACCUUCGGGCCUCUUGCCAUCGGAUGUGCCCAGAUGGGAUUAGCUAGUAGGUGGGGUAACGGCUCACCUAGGCGACGAUCCCUAGCUGGUCUGAGAGGAUGACCAGCCACACUGGAACUGAGACACGGUCCAGACUCCUACGGGAGGCAGCAGUGGGGAAUAUUGCACAAUGGGCGCAAGCCUGAUGCAGCCAUGCCGCGUGUAUGAAGAAGGCCUUCGGGUUGUAAAGUACUUUCAGCGGGGAGGAAGGGAGUAAAGUUAAUACCUUUGCUCAUUGACGUUACCCGCAGAAGAAGCACCGGCUAACUCCGUGCCAGCAGCCGCGGUAAUACGGAGGGUGCAAGCGUUAAUCGGAAUUACUGGGCGUAAAGCGCACGCAGGCGGUUUGUUAAGUCAGAUGUGAAAUCCCCGGGCUCAACCUGGGAACUGCAUCUGAUAUUGGCAAGCUUGAGUCUCGUAGAGGGGGGUAGAAUUCCAGUGUAGCGGUGAAAUGCGUAGAGAUCUGGAGGAAUACCNNUGGCGAANNGNCCCUGGACGANACUGACGCUCAGUGCGAAGCGUGGGGAGCAAACAGAUAGAUACCUGGNAGUCCCCGCCGUAACGAUGUCGACUNGAGUUGUNNNNGAGGCNNGGCUCNNANCUACGCGUAAGUCGACGCUGGGGAGUA
rnacentral:rRNA from 1 species